UGCCCGGGUANGNNUUUAACGGCCGCGGUAUACUGACCGUGCANAGGUNGCNUAAUCAUUAGUCUUUUAAUAGAGGGCUGGAAUGAAAGGUUUAACGAGGAACUGACUGUCUCAUAUUAUUUGUUUUAGAAUUUAAUUUUUUAGUCAAAAAGCUAAAAUUUUAUUGGAAGACGAGAAGACCCUAUNGAUCUNNAUAUAGUAUUAUUUAUUUAUUUUUAAAUAAGUAUUUUUAAUAUAAUACUUUAUUUUGUUGGGGNGACANAAANNNAUNANUANCUNUUUUAUUUAUUUAACAUUGAUUNAUGAUUAUUAGAUCCAUUUUUAGUGAUUGNUAGAUUAAGUUACCUUNGGGAUAACAGCGUAAUCCUCCUCCAGAGUUCAUAUUUACAGGAUGGGCUUGCGACCUCGAUGUUGGAUUAAGAUAAUAAUUAGGUGUAGCCGCUNAAUUUAUAGGUCUGUUCGACCUUUAAAUUCUUACAUGAUCUGAG
rnacentral:rRNA from 1 species